rnacentral:rRNA from 1 species
CCCUUAGAUGUCCUGGGCCGCACGCGCGCUACACUGAUGCGCUCAACGAGUUUACGACCUUGCCCGGAAGGGUUGGGUAAUCUUUUUAAAACGCAUCGUGAUGGGGAUAGAUUAUUGCAAUUAUUAAUCUUUAACGAGGAAUUCCUAGUAAGCGCGAGUCAUCAGCUCGUGCUGAUUACGUCCCUGCCCUUUGUACACACCGCCCGUCGCUCCUACCGAUUGAAUGAUCCGGUGAAUAAUUCGGACUGCAGCAGUGUUCAGUUCCUGAACGUUGCAGCGGAAAGUUUAGUGAACCUUAUCACUUAGAGGAAGGAGAAGUCGUAACA